AGUAACACGUAAACAACCUGCCUUCAGGAUGGGGACAACAGACGGAAACGACUGCUAAUACCGAAUAAGUUCCAAGAGCCGCAUGGCCCAUGGAAGAAAAGGUGGCCUCUACUUGUAAGCUAUCGCCUGAAGAGGGGUUUGCGUCUGAUUAGCUGGUUGGAGGGGUAACGGCCCACCAAGGCGACGAUCAGUAGCCGGUCUGAGAGGAUGAACGGCCACACUGGAACUGAGACACGGUCCAGACUCCUACGGGAGGCAGCAUG
rnacentral:rRNA from 1 species